GUAGGGUGCAAGCGUUAAUCGGAAUUACUGGGCGUAAAGCGUGCGCAGGCGGUUAUGUAAGACAGUUGUGAAAUCCCCGGGCUCAACCUGGGAACUGCAUCUGUGACUGCAUAGCUAGAGUACGGUAGAGGGGGAUGGAAUUCCGCGUGUAGCAGUGAAAUGCGUAGAUAUGCGGAGGAACACCGAUGGCGAAGGCAAUCCCCUGGACCUGUACUGACGCUCAUGCACGAAAGCGUGGGGAGCAAACAGGAUUAGAUACCCUGGUAGUCCACGCCCUAAACGAUGUCAACUGGUUGUUGGGAAUUCACUUUCUCAGUAACGAAGCUAACGCGUGAAGUUGACCGCCUGGGGAGUACGGCCGCAAGGUUG
rnacentral:rRNA from 1 species